ACGCUGGCGGCGUGCCUAAUACAUGCAAGUAGAACGCUGAAGAGAGGAGCUUGCUCUUCUUGGAUGAGUUGCGAACGGGUGAGUAACGCGUAGGUAACCUGCCUUGUAGCGGGGGAUAACUAUUGGAAACGAUAGCUAAUACCGCAUAACAAUGGAUGACCCAUGUCAUUUAUUUGAAAGGGGCAAAUGCUCCACUACAAGAUGGACCUGCGUUGUAUUAGCUAGUAGGUGAGGUAACGGCUCACCUAGGCGACGAUACAUAGCCGACCUGAGAGGGUGAUCGGCCACACUGGGACUGAGACACGGCCCAGACUCCUACGGGAGGCAGCGGUAGGGAAUCUUCGGCAAUGGGGGCAACCCUGACCGAGCAACGCCGCGUGAGUGAAGAAGGUUUUCGGAUCGUAAAGCUCUGUUGUAAGUCAAGAACGAGUGUGAGAGUGGAAAGUUCACACUGUGACGGUAGCUUACCAGAAAGGGACGGCUAACUACGUGCCAGCAGCCGCGGUAAUACGUAGGUCCCGAGCGUUGUCCGGAUUUAUUGGGCGUAAAGCGAGCGCAGGCGGUUUGAUAAGUCUGAAGUUAAAGGCUGUGGCUCAACCAUAGUUCGCUUUGGAAACUGUCAAACUUGAGUGCAGAAGGGGAGAGUGGAAUUCCAUGUGUAGCGGUGAAAUGCGUAGAUAUAUGGAGGAACACCGGUGGCGAAAGCGGCUCUCUGGUCUGUAACUGACGCUGAGGCUCGAAAGCGUGGGGAGCGAACAGGAUUAGAUACCCUGGUAGUCCACGCCGUAAACGAUGAGUGCUAGGUGUUGGAUCCUUUCCGGGAUUCAGUGCCGCAGCUAACGCAUUAAGCAUUCCGCCUGGGGAGUACGACCGCAAGGUUGAAACUCAAAGGAAUUGACGGG
rnacentral:rRNA from 1 species